UUCCUGUGUACCUGAGGACUUCUGAAGAGUGGGCCAUCGAGAAUGAUUGCUGUCAGAAUGCUCUGCAUCCCAUCACCUCAUCGUGUAAUUGCCUUCCCAGUGACAUUAUGGAUGGCUGCAGCCAAUGGUUCUGUUGGGUCUCUGCAUCCUUCAGCUGCCACUUAACACAAUCAUUUCCUUUUGCAGGCUAUAAAUACGUUUGAAUUCUCUGACCUCAUGCUCCAGUAUCGUUCUCAAAGGCAGAACUAUUUCUUAUUCCAUUGCUCUUCAGCUCAUUGUGGCCUUGAAGCUCCCUCAGCCCAACAGGUGUGCAGAGCAGGAGGAAUGCAGCAGGUUGGGAUGAUGCCCUGGUAGGAGCACCCUCUGGCCCAGCCUCCAGUGACAAUUGAGUAGACAAUUAGCAAAUUAUCAUGGCCAUGGGCAAGCAUGCUCCGGGAACCAGGAGCGCUGCAUGGAUGCUUGCAAACUCACUGCUGUGCUGCUCCUUGUGCAUCUCCUUCUGCAGCCCAUACAGAGGCAGCAGGCGUGUGUCCUCCAGCUCCUGAAUCAGAUACGGUGCUCCUCUCAUUGACAGCAAUUUGCUUGCAUAAAUAAUGAAGACUACAGUCUCUUAUGACUUGCUCCCCUCGUAUUUGCCACUAAUCCCAGUCUUUUGCUGAAUAUCUGUUUCCUAAUAAUUGCAUCUGUUUUACACUCGGUUCUUUGGUGUACGAUCACUUAUUAGCAAACCUAUUACUGCUCAGAUGUUCUGCUCACAGUGACCUUGUCCCUAAACCUCUCUGCCUCUCUUCCCUAUUAAAUCACCACACUGUAACUGCUGGAGUGGAAGGAAUUUACUGCUUAAAUAAUUUAUCUAGAUUCAGUACAGAAAGUCUUUGAAGGGAUUCAUCAGCUAAUAAAGAAAAUUGAUUCUGGAAGCCAAAGUCAAUAUGGGGUUAGAGAAACACCAUCACCCUCAUGUGGGCUCUCUUCCAGGAGCCUCUGUUCGGGCUGUGAUCCCACCUAAGCACCUCCAGCUCUCCCAAACCAUGUUGGGGCUCCAUACCCCACACCUGAUGUGCUCAGCAAGGCUUUGUCCAGCACUGUGAGGGCAGAGCAGCAGUGAGCACAGAGCUGGGAGCAACCUCUGUCCUCCUGAGUGCAUGGCUCUGCUCUGAGGGGAUGCUGUCCUCUGUAUGAAGGGAUACACAUCCUCUGUGUGGUCUGAAUGAUGAUGUUCAGAUCUUACGUGCAUGUAAGCAGUGGAACAACCAAGAUACAGUUCAAAUGUGCCCUGAGAAAAACAAGUGGGAAGUGAUGUGUGAUGGAGACAUGGAAGAAAGUGGCACCUUUGGUGGCAGCCCAAAGGAGAUCAAAAAAUAAAAAUGGGCGAAGGAAAAAAGAUGGAAGAAAAUUUGGCAGCAACAUUUGGACAUAUGGCUAAUUUGUGCUUCAUGGGUAUUUCCCCAUAUGCUGCAUGUACAUGUGUUUGUUUACCCCCUGUACAGACUACAUGCCAGCAAUAGUCUCAAAACCAUCAAAAUUACCUUGUAAAAGGACCAAGCAGCUUCAGGUACGCCUGGCAGACCCCUGGGUGCUCCUCAUGAGCUGUCUGGCCAAUCCACCUCGAUGGCUUUGAGCAACAGCACAGCACGAGUGCUCCAAGCAAUGCAUGAUGUGUGCAGGGCAGUGAGGACUCUGUGUCCAUUCUCUGAGAGCCCCGUGCUGCACGCAGGGAAAGGAGCCUCUUCUCCCUCCUUGUUGCUCUGCUGGAGGCCGAUGUACCCAUCAAUAAUUCAGGUGCCUGCAGCUAGCAGCAGGUUGAUGCCCAGCUAAUGGGCACUGGGCUCACUGUGUCCUGCUUGCACUUUGCAGCACAUGCUCACACCCAUGAGCGUGUUGGCUUGCUACCCUGCAGCUGCAGGCUCAGCUCUGCAGGAACUUCAAAGCAAAGCAAGGAGGAAGAAGUCUGUGCUGGCUGCAGUCAUCAGAACCCAAAAGCACCGUCGUCUCUGCAGGCUUGAUUUAAGCUGAAAAUCCAGACCCAUUUCCUGGGUACAAAUCAUUCGAGUGAGAUGAAACGAUCAAUGGAAGAUAUCAUCUGUGAUUCACCUCCUCAGCCAAAACCAUCUCGUUGGUUUGAGAGACUUAUUGUUGGAUUUGAAUACUGCUUUCCAGGAGUGGGAAUAAAGCUGAGCGAAAUGCAGCUAAUACCCCAGCAGCAAAGCAAGAGAUGAGACAUUCAGAAAGACAGAAAUGUGCCAGUUUGGGUCGAGUGCUGAAGCUCAGCAUCCCCAGGGCCUGCAGUGUUGUGUGAUGCUAUGCUUAGGGCAGUGGCGGCCCCAGUGCUGCCCUGCUAUGGGCUGGGGAAGCUGGGCACCGCUCUCAAGGACUCUGGUGCCCUUGCACGCAAAGAUUUUUGUGAUCUGUUGAUGGAGAACAAAGUCUCUUUUUAUAGUCAUUUCAUUAUGAUGCUUAAUUCCUUCUGCAGAAGCAAUUACAUUCUAUGGGCGGAAAGCAAUAUUGGAGACUUAUGAUUGUUAUUGCCAUCCCACCCGGUGCCCGCGCGCUCACGGUGCCAUAGGAAUGACAAUCAGGGCUGGCAGUGCUGGGCUGUGCAGGGACAAAUAGAGGCUUAGUGCUCGCAGAUAACCCUGUCCAUCUGCCCAACCUCUACACUGGGGCAGCAGCAUGGCACAUCUGGUGGCUUUGCUGGGGCUGCUCAGACAUUGGGUGACCUGUGGGAGUGGGAAGCAAGAGGCCAUGGACCCUCUCUGGUCAUUCAUUGCUUCACUGGAAUUAAUUAGGCACCUUGCUGCCAACAAAUGUGGGUUUGUCGUGGAGAGUCAUCUGCCAAAUGAUGUCUUCUCCAUUGGGCACCAUUUCCCUUUGGGUAUAUUCCUCCCAAUUUGCAAAGGAUGGAGAUGCUGGGGCUGCUUGUGACAUCCCAGCACAGCGGGCAGGCUGCAAGGCUGAUGCAUCAGAGCAGCUCGUUAGUGUAAUGAUAUCAGUGAAGCUCAAUGCCAGUAGGGGCACAGAUGUGGACCUCUGUGAAGGCACAGUGUGAUCAAUGCUGCCCAUCAGGAGGGAGCUGGGCUGGGACGUGGGCAGGGCUGUGCUUGCCAUCCUUUAAUGGUUAUAAAUGGUUACCUUUAGCACUGAAAAAGCUGAAUAGAUACAAAUAUCACCAAUACCAUAAGGGUGCACAGGGCCUCAUUAUCCUUGGGUAAUCGAGGUUACGCGGAGCUGUUCUCCUUUAUCUGUCACUGUCUCUCUUGGCAACGUGAUGAAGCAGAAAAACCUCAAGGAUGAACCGCCCAGGAGGAGGGCUGGGGCCCAAAAUUGCACUGGGAGAAGGACAGAGGGCUCCCAUGCUGGGGAGCCCCAAACUGCACUGCCCAUCCCUGGGUGAGAAUUACCAACAGCACGCAUUCUGUGUUCUGCACCCAACACACAACAUGUUUGCAAACAGUGGGUACGCAGGCAUUUGAGCUUGGAAUUUGCUUUCUGUAAGUGUUCUCACUAAUGAAACCGGGGCUGUAAAAUAUUCCUGGAAAGUGCUUACAACGGCUUUCAGAUAUAUGGAAUGAUGUUUUUAUGUUAUCUCAGAUUUGCUUCCCACUCCUGAGGCCUGCAGCUCCUCCCCUCUCCCCCCACGCUCACCAUGGAGGAGCUGGGCUCUGUAGCAGCGCAGAGCAGCGCGCCGUACGUGCGAUUGCACACCUGUGCAGCCACAGAUGUUCUGACAAAAGUCCCUUGAAACUCCAUCUCUUCUCAUUAAAUGGCAAACAAAGAGAGCUGUUUCAAACAAUUCUCCUCCUCCUGUCCCCUGAAGAAGCAACCCAUGUGGCCUCAGAGCUCUGCGCAUCCCAGGCUGAGGCUGCUGCCCCAGCCAUUGCUUUGGGUUUGUUGCAGUCUUCAUUAAGAGCCGCUUAUGGGGAGAAGCUUGAGGAGUCAAGGCAAGCUGAGCUCGUUGGCUCACUAUUUCAAUUUCACUGUAGGCAGCAAUACUGUCAGUGUGAUGGAAACGACCUCAAAUUGCCAUUGUUGGGUUAUUUAAUCUGGCCAGGUUCCUUUCAGCUCUCACCUGCUGUAAAAGAAGACAAAUUGUCUCUCGUGUGCUCCAGAACCUUUACACACACAGGACAGCAGUGAUUUUGUGUGUCUGGAGCGGUGAUGCUGCUGGGCUGCGAGUGCCAGGACAGCUCUGGGCUGGGGGCUUUGUGCUGGAGCUGCAUUUCCCCAUUCUCUGAGGAGCUCUGACGGAGGAAAGCAAUAUUGCAAGUUGAAUGCAUCAGCAUUUGCUUCAGAUAUUCUCCUCGCUGAGCAUGUGUUUCCCCUUGUGGCAAACAGGAUGGUUCAGCACAGCGGGGCUGUGAUAAUGGUGGGCCAGGCUGCAGGCGAAGCCAUGCAACCCCCAGUCCUGAUUUCACUCACAGCUUCCCAAGAGCAGCUCCUGAAAGGAAAGCCGGGCAGGGAAAAGUAGUUAACUCCCCAUGGCACAUUUGAGCAUCAUUUUUAUUACCGUUCAUCUGUUCUGUGCACUUUGCCCUCUUCUGAUUUAUUCCUGCUCGAGGUGGAGCGACGUCGCUCUUCUGCAGCUCCUGUUUCCCAAGAGGGAUGGUUCAUUCUCAGUGUGUGUGGCUGUGUUCUGGAGGUGUCCCCAUAGGAAAAUCAGGGGUGGCAGCACCCCAGGGAUGCUUCCUGCCCAGGGCUGGCCUCACAAUCCAGCCUG